rnacentral:misc_RNA from 1 species
CAGCAUCAUUGAGGUGACAUCUGG